AGAUACCAGGCCGCUGCGACUGUUUAUUAAAAACACAGCACUCUGCAAACACGAAAGUGGACGUAUAGGGUGUGACGCCUGCCCGGUGCCGGAAGGUUAAUUGAUGGGGUUAGCGCAAGCGAAGCUCUUGAUCGAAGCCCCGGUAAACGGCGGCCGUAACUAUAACGGUCCUAAGGUAGCGAAAUUCCUUGUCGGGUAAGUUCCGACCUGCACGAAUGGCGUAACGAUGGCGGCGCUGUCUCCACCCGAGACUCAGUGAAAUUGAAAUCGCUGUGAAGAUGCAGUGUAUCCGCGGCUAGACGGAAAGACCCCGUGAACCUUUACUGUAGCUUUGCACUGGACUUUGAGCCUGCUUGUGUAGGAUAGGUGGGAGGCUUUGAAGCGUGGACGCCAGUUCGCGUGGAGCCAUCCUUGAAAUACCACCCUGGCAUGCUUGAGGUUCUAACUCUGGUCCGUGAUCCGGAUCGAGGACAGUGUAUGGUGGGCAGUUUGACUGGGGCGGUCUCCUCCUAAAGAGUAACGGAGGAGUACGAAGGUGCGCUCAGACCGGUCGGAAAUCGGUCGCAGAGUAUAAAGGCAAAAGCGCGCUUGACUGCGAGACAGACACGUCGAGCAGGUACGAAAGUAGGUCUUAGUGAUCCGGUGGUUCUGUAUGGAAGGGCCAUCGCUCAACGGAUAAAAGGUACUCCGGGGAUAACAGGCUGAUACCGCCCAAGAGUUCAUAUCGACGGCGGUGUUUGGCACCUCGAUGUCGGCUCAUCACAUCCUGGGGCUGAAGCCGGUCCCAAGGGUAUGGCUGUUCGCCAUUUAAAGUGGUACGCGAGCUGGGUUUAGAACGUCGUGAGACAGUUCGGUCCCUAUCUGCCGUGGACGUUUGAGAUUUGAGAGGGGCUGCUCCUAGUACGAGAGGACCGGAGUGGACGAACCUCUGGUGUUCCGGUUGUCACGCCAGUGGCAUUGCCGGGUAGCUAUGUUCGGAAAAGAUAACCGCUGAAAGCAUCUAAGCGGGAAACUUGCCUCAAGAUGAGAUCUCACUGGGAACUUGAUUCCCCUGAAGGGCCGUCGAAGACUACGACGUUGAUAGGCUGGGUGUGUAAGCGUUGUGAGGCGUUGAGCUAACCAGUACUAAUUGCCCGUGAGGCUUGACCAU
rnacentral:rRNA from 1 species